CAGAGCUGAAGGGAAUUUGGGGAUGAAAGAAGAGAGGACAAGGGCACAAGAGGAAGAGGGGAUGAGGGAAUUGGAGGUGAGGAGACGAGGCUGAGGGGACACGGCUGAGGAGGAUCAAGGCUGAGGGAAUAGGAGGUGAGGGGACGGGGCAUCAAGGGAUUGGCGAUAAAAGAUUAGGGAUGAGGGACAGGAAUGAGGGGACAGGGAUGAGGGCACACGGACUGUCCGCGAUCUGCGCUGAGGCUCCCCGGCUGCGGGCCCGGCACGGGGAGGCAUUUCCUCCCACGCAACCGACAAGAGGGGAAGAAAAACAAAAAACCCCAAAAGUUUGGUUUGGUUUGGGUUUGUUUUCUCUCAAUUGCGAGGUGCGGGCACAGGAAGCGCGGGCGGCGGCAGGCGGAGAGGCACAGCCCCGUCCCUGCGGGCCCGGCGGUGGAAGCGAGGAGGAGCCGGUGCGGGAGCGGAGCCGCCUCGCCGCCSUUACAACAAACCGGCCCCGACGCCUUUGUUUGCAGGCGUGUGUGCUCAGAGAGAAAACACAACGGCGCUGCCGAACGGGGGCCGGAAAAAGAGCGUGCAGGAAAAAAAAAAUCAUACUCCCCCCUUCACCGUUCGAUUUUAGGAGCCGGAAAGCACUAGAUGAUACUGUCAAAAGUGUAUUUUUAAAGGAUAGGAAACUGCCUCAAUGACAGUUUUUGUCUGAACACGCUGUAUGACUUAGCAAUAAGCCCUGCCCUUUAGAUAAAGCARAGGAAGACUCAAACCGUUCUUAAUUGCCAAAUAAUUUUGAUGAAAUGAGCGCAGGCAAGGAGCUGGUGCACUUCGUUGCCCAAACACUUCCCAUGAUUAUUUUUUUUUACUCAGAAGUCAACCACUGCACAGACAAGUGUAGGAUGCGGUGGUGCUCCAGUCCUUGAUUAAAUCCGAGCAACCAGUCCCAGAAAUCUCCCCAUUCCCAGUUCCCUGUGGCUGAAGAGUUCCUAUUGUGAAUGUGUCACUGCAGCAGCAGCCAGCUGGCACGUCAGCAUUUCCACUGCAAGCCUAUUUUUAAAGGUCUGGAAUUCAACCACAGAAGACAAAUGUUUUGGAGUGCAUACCAGGAUUGUUUGUCCUUCAGAAAAGAAAAAUCAGUUUAUAUUUUUUUCCCCCCAAAGUUGAGUGAAUGCUACAAAACCAGCCAACUGACACAUCUCAGUUCUGCCCUAUCCUCCAAGGAAAAUCUCCAAUUAAGGAUGCAGUAUCCUGUCUCCACGCUGGCCAGGAAAGCAGAUGCCAGACAGAACCUACCAACAGGAACUUGCUUCGUUAUAUUUCUUCAAACCUGCUUUAUCCUUGAAGCUGAAACCAAGCCUGAAAAAUCCAACUGGAAUUCAGAGUGAAUUUCGCCUCRGAGCGCAGAAUAAACCACCAUGAUGUUCCAAUAUGCAAAUGUAUCAACAAUGAUGAAUACUUAAGGGAUUGAUUGCAUCCAAAAUCAUCGUGAUCUCCAUCUUCAGGGAAGUUUUUGUGGCAGCAGAAGGUGUUACUUCUGCAGUGAGAGAGAGCCAAAGAUGUUGCCAGUUCCUAACUUUAGCUAGGAGCCCACAUACCAUGCCUCAAGCCAGUAUCCUAAUCAUCUCAGGUGAAAAUUCUUCCCAUUUUGGAAAUUUAUAAUUAACUUCCUACUGAGCCAUGCUUAGAAAAAUGCCUCAACCUGAAAGAUUAAAUAGGAACUUAGUAUCUGGCAGAAAUAAUUCAGCAGUAGCUGUUUGUGUCUUGCAGUAUAAAGACACUGAUUUAAAAUUAUAUAUUUAGAAGUUGUUUUCUCUUUAUUGUGUAACCAAAGGACUUGAACUGGAUGAGCAAUAGCUGCAUUGCUGGAGCAGGGAGGAGGUCAGAGAAUGCCACUUCAGGAACAUURGUUUGGGUCUUCAGAUAAUUGCAGCAGCAGCAGCGAGUGCUGGACGAGUCCCCACUGCUGGAGGGAUGGAGAUCCACAUCCCUCCAGCCUCUGGAGCUCCUGGGGGUCACCACAACMCCACUGCUUUUUCUUCUCCACUCUAACCAAGGUUAUUUUCAAGCCAUCUUGACUUUGCUCCUGUUCCAAUUGGGGCACAACUUGACUCAUCAGUUCUUUAUUUGGAACACACAUCACAUUUCUGCACUUCAUCAGUUCUGCUCCCACUGAGGUCACUUGUUUGUGGCCAUUCAAUACUUCCUGCAAGUGCCCAGCUCUCAGUUUCACCUUUUCCCACUGCCCUGUGCCUGGAGUCACCCUUCAGCCRAGGAUGCUCUUUGCAGCCCUGUGACUUUGGGGUCAGCAGGACACAAGCUGAGGACAUUCUGCAAUACGUUUCAGAAUCAGUAUUUAAAGCCCAACUUCUUUUCCCAUUAACUCUGGUGACAAUAUCCAUAAUAAUUUCAAUGGGAGCAUGAUAAUUCUGUAAGUAAUUGCUAUCAGGAAUUUAAUUUAAACCUCAUUUGACUGACAUUUCUUGUUUGCAAGGUAUCUAUUUUAGGAACAAUGUCUUGCUAGUGUAUCUUCUUCAUCUUAGUCAUGACUGAUAACAGAAUAAUCAUCUCAACCACUUUCUUUUUCUUUUCCUGCAUAAUGGUUUUACUGCAUUUUCACAUAGCAAACAUACAGRAAUAGAAACAAUUAGACAAAUAACAGUAUUAUAUGGAGAUGAGCAGSUAAGUGACUAGAACUUACUUGAAACUCUUUCCUAGGCUGGAUGUGAGGCUCAGAAGCCUCGAGGCACCACAGGGUUGUUGAAAAGACUAAAGAAUGGUGCAAGUUACUCUAAUUCAUGUUUCUUGAAGCUGGGCUUAUAGAGGUGUGUUAAAUACCUCUAUAAGAAUAUCAAUAUCUGGGGUGCCAGAACUCCAACCUGCUCCUGAUUUCAUUGCAAGAAAGACAUGGAGGGGCUGGAGUGAGUCCAGGAAUGGCUGAGGGAGCUGGGAAAGGGGCUCAGCCUGGAGCAAAGAAGGCUCAGGGUGACCUUGUGGCUCUGCACAACUCCUGACAGGAGCCAGGAUGGGGUCGGGCUCUGCCCCCAGGGACAGGAGGAGAGGGAACGGCCUCAGGCUGGGCCAGGGGAGGGGCAGGGUGGACACCAGGAGGAAUUUCUUCCCCAAAAGGGUGGUGAAGCCUUGGCAGGAGCUGCCCAGGGAGGUUUGGAGUGCCCAUUCCUGGAGGUGUCUAAGGAAGGACUGGAUGUGGCACUCAGUGGUUGGUGACAAGGUGGGGAUCAGGUUGGACUCCACGAUCCCAGGGAUCUUUCCCAACCUUAGGGAUUCCGAGAUCCUGCUGCUCUGCAGGAGUUCCUGCCCGUCCUCCCUCUCUCCAACAGUUCCUCACUGCCAGCACAUCAACACUGCCCCAGUCACACUGUGCUUCCCCAGGACGAAUCUGAGGCAGCAAUUGCCAGGCAAUUUCUCUUUAAUCAGUGACUUUCSUACAGGGAAAUGCCACAAAACACUUUGCAGGUCAUUACCUUGUUCUUAAUAACCCACGGGGCAGCGAAUGCUGAGUAAGGAAGGACAGGGUUCGCUGCUUCUUCCAGUCCUUUGUCAGGUUUCCUCCUUUGCUGUAAAUCUCCAGGGACAAGCAGUUAGGAAGUGUCUUCAACAAGUUGACUUUGACACUGAAAGAGCUGCUUCUCCUUUCACUGAGGAGCUGUCACAGGCAYCGAUGGAGCCGUGGCAGAACAGCUGAAAGUGGUAAAAAUUGACAGACGAGCAGACUUUCAAUGAUAAGGAAAAAAUCCAGAAAACUGCCACGUGAGARGCAGAUUCUCACCGCCCUUAAUGGGAGGGCUUUUAGGAAAUGUUGUGAAUUGGCUUCAACGAGAAACASGAACACUCAGCGGAGGAAACAUCUCCCAGAAUGAGGUCAGACUUGUAAAGAAUGGCUCUUACCCAGCCCAUGAGCAGAGCCACGGGGGGAGCGGUAAAUCAGCUGUAAACACCAGGAAUCGUUCUGCUGUGGUACAUCAAACUCCCUAACAGAGCUACGAAAGCUCAGCUCCAGCCUGGUUUCAGUUUACAUUUCAUCGGUUCGUGGUGUUUUUAAGCAAGUUUAAAACAUGUCAUUCUGAGCAUCAAUAUUUAUCUCAGAAAAGGAGGAGGGACAAACCUUGGAUUUUUUUUGCUGUAACAAACGGUGUGGUACCACCUCUGAAAGGCCAGCAAAAAGCACCAGGGCAGGACUCUCAAAAAUAAGAGGAUCUGCUUUUUUUUUAAUACAAAACAAUAAUAAGCCUCACUUUUAAAAUCUUCUAACAGUAAUCUCGAGGAAAUAAAGAAAUAAUGUUGGGWUUGUGUGGGAAGGAAGCAGAUUUAAAUCUCAAAUGAAUGACGUACCUUGUAAUUACAGGAACCAUUGAAAGAGAUAGUCAGAAUUAAAAUAAUUCCAAUAUUCACAGCRAAAUAUUAAUUUGAAAAUUUUCAAGGAUGGAUAAAUGCACAUAAACAGAGGCAGAUGAUCAAGGGCUGAAGUUCAAAUUAACUCAAAGAAAGAAGUCAGCCUUGUUAAAUGAUAUCUAAAAUUGUCACUGAGCUCAGCAGCGAGGGCUUGAGGCAGCGUGGGGCUGGGCGAGCAGCAAGUUGGAUUUACUGAGAAAUUGUGCCUCUGUGAGUGGCACAACUGCCUUCCAUCAAUGCCUCUCUGAAGCACGUGAACUCUGAGAACGCUUAAAAAUUUAAAUUAAAACACCUUUCUAAAUUUUCAAUCACCAAACAAUGGGUGAUUAAGCACAAUCAUUAAGCUUGCAGCAACAGCAGUAAUGUGUUUCUUCCGUUAUGACAAAGCCCUCAUUGCUUAACGCAUUUUAAUAAGACAGUUAUAAGAUAUUUCAUGUUUUUAUAGACAUUUUUGCACCUAGCUAUUAAUACUGGUUACUUGGCUUGCUAGGUGGAAGAUGUUUUCACUCAUAGAUGAUUCCAUCUGUAUUAACAGCUACAAAUAAAAUGAUGAACACUUUUAAUAUCAAUUAAUGGCAUUUUUUUAACCCAAUGAACUCAAUUAAUGGCAUUUUUUUGAUUGAUUGUAUCCAAAAUACCAAUUAAUGGCAUCUUUUGAUUGAGGGAGAUUAUUACCUGAGCACUGAACCAGCAGAAAACUCCCAAACCUCUUAGAUAGGAUUUCAACGGGAUAAACACACUGAAUCAUUUUUCUGUCCAUUUUCCCAUAAAAAUUUUCUCCACAAAGGAUUUUUCCUCCUGAAACACCACACGGAUUGCUCAGCACUUCCCAUGUCUCCCAUCGUGUCACUCUGAUGGAUCUGCUGAACCCACCCAGAGCUGCAGAAAGC